CCUUCCCACCAUCCACCCCACUGGUGUUCACCUCCCUUAUAAUUCCAACCUACUGCACAGCCAGCCACACUGGUACUUCAAUCCCCAUGCCACUGACUUCUUUACUGACACCUGCUGGAAUGAACAACAACUUUUUGCUCCUUGGACAAAUAGAACCCUCCUCUCUCUUCCCCUUUGAGGGCAGUUAUAGGCAAGCAGAUGACUUAAGCUAAGCUUGCAAAGCAAAAGGCUGCUCAUCUGGCAGUUAAAAUGAAUACAGUUCAUUUCACAAGUUUCCCAUAUGGACUCUUAGUGUAUGGUAAUGAGGAGACCAUAUGGUGAGAG
rnacentral:lncRNA from 1 species